rnacentral:rRNA from 1 species
UACAGAGGGUGCGAGCGUUAAUCGGAAUUACUGGGCGUAAAGCGUGCGUAGACGGUUAUUUAAGUCGGAUGUGAAAGCCCCGGGCUCAACCUGGGAACUGCAUCCAAAACUGGCAAGCUAGAGUACGGUAGAGGGUGGUGGAAUUUCCUGUGUAGCGGUGAAAUGCGUAGAUAUAGGAAGGAACACCAGUGGCGAAGGCGACCACCUGGACUGAUACUGACACUGAGGUGCGAAAGCGUGGGGAGCAAACAGG